rnacentral:rRNA from 1 species
CGGAGAUAGAAAGCUUGCUUUCUAUGAUCAGUGGCGAACGGGUGAGUAACACGUAGUUAACCUACCCAUUGGACUGGGACAACUUUUGGAAACGAAAGCUAAUACCGGAUAGGAAGAAAUUUUAAAGGAGCGAAUGCUGCACCAAUGGAAGGGACUGCGUCUGAUUAGCUAGUUGGUAGGGUAAGAGCCUACCAAGGCGACGAUCGGUAGCCGGACUGAGAGGUUGAACGGCCACACUGGGACUGAGACACGGCCCAGACUCCUACGGGAGGCAGCAGUAGGGAAUCUUGCACAAUGGGCGAAAGCCUGAUGCAGCAAUGCCGCGUGAGUGAAGAAGGUUUUCGGAUUGUAAAACUCUGUUAUAUGGGAAGAACAGUAUAAAGAGGAAAUGCUUUAUAUAUGACGGUACCAUAUGAGAAAGCCACGGCUAACUACGUGCCAGCAGCCGCGGUAAUACGUAGGUGGCAAGCGUUAUCCGGAAUUAUUGGGCGUAAAGGGCGCGCAGGUGGUUAUGUAAGUCU